rnacentral:rRNA from 1 species
UACAGAGGGUGCGAGCGUUACUCGGAAUUACUGGGCGUAAAGCGCGCGUAGGCGGCUUUGCAAGUCGGGUGUGAAAUCCCCAGGCCUAACCUGGGAACUGCAUUCGAGACUGCAUGGCUAGAGUAUCGGAGAGGGAAGUGGAAUUUCAGGUGUAGCGGUGAAAUGCGUAGAUAUCUGAAGGAACAUCGGUGGCGAAAGCGACUUCCUGGACGAAUACUGACGCUCAUGUGCGAAAGCGUGGGGAGCAAACAGG